GGCCUAACACAUGCAAGUCGAGCGGAAACGAGUUAUCUGAACCUUCGGGGAACGAUAACGGCGUCGAGCGGCGGACGGGUGAGUAAUGCCUGGGAAAUUGCCCUGAUGUGGGGGAUAACCAUUGGAAACGAUGGCUAAUACCGCAUGAUGCCUACGGGCCAAAGAGGGGGACCUUCGGGCCUCUCGCGUCAGGAUAUGCCUAGGUGGGAUUAGCUAGUUGGUGAGGUAAGGGCUCACCAAGGCGACGAUCCCUAGCUGGUCUGAGAGGAUGAUCAGCCACACUGGAACUGAGACACGGUCCAGACUCCUACGGGAGGCAGCAGUGGGGAAUAUUGCACAAUGGGCGCAAGCCUGAUGCAGCCAUGCCGCGUGUGUGAAGAAGGCCUUCGGGUUGUAAAGUACUUUCAGUCGUGAGGAAGGUGUUGUCGUUAAUAGCGGCUGUGUUUGACGUUAGCGACAGAAGAAGCACCGGCUAACUCCGUGCCAGCAGCUGCGGUAAUACGGAGGGUGCGAGCGUUAAUCGGAAUUACUGGGCGUAAAGCGCAUGCAGGUGGUUUGUUAAGUCAGAUGUGAAAGCCCGGGGCUCAACCUCGGAAUAGCAUUUGAAACUGGCAGACUAGAGUACUGUAGAGGGGGGUAGAAUUUCAGGUGUAGCGGUGAAAUGCGUAGAGAUCUGAAGGAAUACCGGUGGCGAAGGCGGCCCCCUGGACAGAUACUGACGCUCAGAUGCGAAAGCGUGGGGAGCAAACAGGAUUAGAUACCCUGGUAGUCCACGCCGUAAACGAUGUCUACUUGGAGGUUGUGGCCUUGAGCCGUGGCUUUCGGAGCUAACGCGUUAAGUAGACCGCCUGGGGAGUACGGUCGCAAGAUUAAAACUCAAAUGAAUUGACGGGGGCCCGCACAAGCGGUGGAGCAUGUGGUUUAAUUCGAUGCAACGCGAAGAACCUUACCUACUCUUGACAUCCAGAGAACUUUCCAGAGAUGGAUUGGUGCCUUCGGGAACUCUGAUACAGGGCUGCAUGGCUGUCGUCAGCUCGUGUUGU
rnacentral:rRNA from 1 species